rnacentral:rRNA from 1 species
AGAGUGAACGCUGGCGGUAGGCCUAACACAUGCAAGUCGAACGGCAGCACAGUGGUAGCAAUACCAUGGGUGGCGAGUGGCGGACGGGUGAGGAAUACAUCGGAAUCUACCUUUUCGUGGGGGAUAACGUAGGGAAACUUACGCUAAUACCGCAUACGCCCUUCGGGGGAAAGCCGGGGAUCGCAAGACCUGGCGCGGAUAGAUGAGCCGAUGUCGGAUUAGCUAGUUGGUGAGGUAAUGGCUCACCAAGGCGACGAUCCGUAGCUGGUCUGAGAGGAUGAUCAGCCGCACUGGAACUGAGACACGGUCCAGACUCCUACGGGAGGCAGCAGUGGGGAAUAGUUGGACAAUGGGCGCAAGCCUGGAUCCAGCCAUACCGCGUGGGUGAAGAGGCCUUGGUGUAACGCCUUUGUU